rnacentral:sRNA from 1 species
UCUUAGCCCCGAUUGCAAUGAAAAUCCUUUUUUGAAAAAAAAGAUUGUAAUGAAAAGCGGGAUAAAGC